ACCUUAGUGGCGGACGGGUGAGUAACGCGUGGGAAUCUACCUUACGAUGGGGGACAACAGUUGGAAACGACUGCUAAUACCGCAUACGCCCUUCGGGGGAAAGGCUUCGGCCGUCGUUAGAGGAUCCCGCGUUCGAUUAGCUAGUUGGUAGGGUAAUGGCCUACCAAGGCAACGAUCGAUAGCUGGUUUGAGAGGAUGAUCAGCCACACUGGAACUGAGACACGGCCCAAACUCCUACGGGAGGCAGCAGUGGGGAAUCUUGCACAAUGGGGGAAACCCUGAUCCAGCGAUGCCGCGUGAGUGAAGAAGGCCUUAGGGUUGUAAAACUCUUUCACCCGUGAAGAUGAUGACUGUAGCGGGAGAAGAAGCUCCGGCUAACUCCGUGCCAGCAGCCGCGGUAAUACGGAGGGGGCUAGCGUUGCUCGGAAUUACUGGGCGUAAAGCGCGCGUAGGCGGUGAAUCCAGUCAGGCGUGAAAGCCCAGGGCUUAACCCUGGAAUUGCGUUUGAUACUGAUUUGCUAGAAUUCGAGAGAGGGUAGUGGAAUUUCCAGUGUAGAGGUGAAAUUCGUAGAUAUUGGAAAGAACACCAGUGGCGAAGGCGGCUACCUGGCUCGAUAUUGACGCUGAGGUGCGAAAGCGUGGGGAGCGAACGGGAUUAGAUACCCCGGUAGUCCACGCCGUAAACGAUGAGUGCUAGUUGUCGGGCAGCUUGCUGUUCGGUGACGCAGCUAACGCGUUAAGCACUCCGCCUGGGGAGUACGGUCGCAAGAUUAAAACUCAAAGGAAUUGACGGGGGCCCGCACAAGCGGUGGAGCAUGUGGUUUAAUNNNNNNNGCCGGUGAUAAGCCGGAGGAAGGUGGGGAUGACGUCAAGUCCUCAUGGCCCUUACGGGCUGGGCUACACACGUGCUACAAUGGCGGUGACAGUGGGUUGCUACCUCGCAAGAGGAAGCUAAUCCCUAAAAACCGUCUCAGUUCGGAUUGUUCUCUGCAACUCGAGAGCAUGAAGUUGGAAUCGCUAGUAAUCGUGGAUCAGCGUGCCACGGUGAAUACGUUCUCGGGCCUUGUACACACCGCCCGUCACACCAUGGGAGUUGGUUUUACCUUAAGCCGGUGCGCUAACCUUCGGGAAGCAGCCGACCACGGUAAGGUCAGCGACUGGGGUGAAGUCGUAACAAGGUAGCCGUAGGGGAACCUGCGGCUG
rnacentral:rRNA from 1 species